CCCCCCCCCCCCCCGCCGGCCUUUGUUGAAUGUUGAAUCUGCAGUGUCUUCAGUUUAAAAUAAUCUGAGGUUCCAAGUGGGUCUCCACAUCCUGAAAAGCCCUGAUCUCAAUAAUUUUAUCUCAUUGUUCCUCAAGCACACUUUAUCAACUUUCAGACCUUAAAUUUAUAUUUUUGGUUCAAAAAAUAUUGAUUAUAUUGCAAACUGCUGUACUAUAAAGGAAUGGAGAUAAAAGAAAAAGAAUUAAACCUAGAUUAAACUUACUUUCUCUUUCCCAUUGUUUGUCUUAAAUUUGUGAUUUUUUUCUUUACACAAGAAAAAAAAUUCCUUGAAGUUUGUAUUCUUAUUCCGAAGUUUGUUUUUUUUUUUUAAUGUUUAUUACUUAUUUUUGAGAGAGGGAGAGACAGAGUGCAAGCUAGGGAGGAGCAGAGAGAGAGAGGGAGACACAGAAUCCAAAGCAGGCUCCAGGCUCUGAGCUGUCAGCACAGAGCCCGAUGUGAGGCUCGAACUCACAGACCAGGAGAUCACAACCUGAGCCGAAGCCGGACGCUCAACCGACUGAGCCACCCAGGCGCCCCUCUUAUUCCUAAGUUUUAAGUGACUAAACUGAAAUCUAGAAAAGUUGAAACAUUUGGUCAGAGCCACCGAACUUGUCUGAGUUCCAGAGCUUUAAUUUAAAUCCCAGUUGCAGAGGUGGAGUUUAACCCCAGUCUCCUCAUUUUAUUUCUUUUAUUUCUUGUAACAACCAAGGAGAAGAGAGGUAGAGACUAAAUGGAGAGAUUGUAUUGGACUAGUGGCAUUUCUUUGCAGACAAGCAUUUGUCAUCUCUCAUAGUGACUUUCUGUAGUAGGUUACUAAUUAAGAUUUGUUUUAGUCUCUUUCCUUCCUACAUCUUUCUCCCCUUUCUUACUACUUAACCAACCUGCCUUCUUACUCAGAACAUUUUCCUUUUUCUUCUCUAAACCAGUCAUAUCUGUUCUCUAAGAUUUAUUGCUCUCAGAUGUUAAGUUCUACAUUUAAUUAAUAUAUUUCAUUAGAGUAUAAAUGAAUUUUAUUCUUUAUAGUUAGGAUUGUAGGUUUCAGAGAGAUUGGGGGAGGUACAGUUUAUCCCCAGUCUCUUCCCCUCCCUCCUUCCAUCUUUUCAAUUCUAGUGAGGCCAAAACAAGGAUUAAAAGUUGAAAAAGGGAAUAAAAUGCAGAAAAUCAGCUACUAAACAUGUUCUCUCCUCUUACAAGAACACACAUAUUAUUUAACUUAUGACCAGCAGUUCAGAGACUCCCUAAAUAUAUUUCAUGACAAGUUUGGAAUUUCUGAAAUGCUGAAUGGAGAAAACUUUCUGUAUAACAUUUCAGCUCUCUCCCAGUGGUACCUUUCCUGGAAUGAGUUGUGAUGUGAUUUCUAGGAGAGGGAUGUAAAUGACUUAACUGAAAAAGAAAUUAAACUCUCCCCUCAAAAUAAAGUCUAAGAAAAUAUAUAUAGGAUGGGUAUAUAGUGAAAAUUGAUAGAUCUAAAAAUAUGAGUUGAUUGGAACAGACAGGAAAAAGAGGAAUCUUAGCUAGGUAAAGAAAUGGGAGGUUUAAAGGAAAAGUAAACAAAGUAUUGAAGUAUGUUCUGAACUGACAGAUGGUUAGGAGGAAUUGUUUGUUAAUAGUAAGUAAAGACCAUAAAUAUGAAAAUCUGAAUAGAGUAAACAUAGUAAAUGAGGCACAAAUUUAAGAAACUAACAAUAAUUGACUUAGUUCUCCAGUAUCUUAAAUGUUGACUGUCUGAGACUUUAACUGCUUUAUAGUAACUUAGUUACCUCUUGGGAAAGAGUAUUCUUCUUUACUAUAAAAAAUAAUGUGUUCUUUUUACCGAAUUUUUUUAAAUUUCUAAAUGUAUAACGUUUUAAAUCACUAGGACUUCCAUUGAUUUGGCUGGCAAAAUCACUGAAGACAACUAAUAAUGCUACAUGAAAUAUAAUGAAUAUUUUAUUAGAGACAUCAUAGAGCUGUUAAGGCAGUAAAGAAUUAUCAAAAAGUGAAUGAAAACUAGGAACUCAGCUGAAGAAGCACAGACAUUACUUUUGUAUAAGAGCUGUGAUGUAAUGACCUACAAGAGCCAAUUGUUGAAUUUUCAGGAAUUUUGCAAAGUAGUUGUUAAGCACAGCCAUUAUUAAACAUAAAAUUAUGGGACUCCUGGCUGGCUCAGUCAGUGGAGCAUGGGACUCUUGAUCUCAGGACUGUAAGUUUGAGCCCCAUGUUAGGUGUAGAGAUUUUAAAAAAUAAAAUGUUUAAAAUAAAUAAAUGAAUAAAUGUACAGAUAAGAUAUAUUUAAAAGAUUAAAAUAUUAAAAACAAGAGUAAUAAAUAUCAAAAACUCAAAACUUCCUAAUAAUUUUCUAGGACAACCGCUAAAAUAAUAUAUUGAUAGAGUAGUGGGACAAAUAGAAAAUUAAAAAUAAGAUAGCAGAUUUAAAGUGAAAUUGCCCAGAACAAUCCCCCCUUACCAGAAAAAAAAAAUUAUGAUAGCAAAACCAAAAUUUAACAAAACUAGACCUUUAACAAAACUAGAUGAAAAGGUAUCCCAUGAACCCCAAAAUACAAGCAAGUAUAAACAACUUCUCAAGAACUAUGAGACCCUGUAAUACCAACAUCUGUACAAGGGGAAGCCGCACAAGAAGCCCAAGAGCUAAUGAAUACUAACUAGAAAAUGCAGUGGCCAAUAUAAGAACAGCACCUGCAACUGUAAGGGGUUUUUGCACAAUCUGCAUGUUAAGCUCAGGGGAUCUGCAGUAAGGUAUGAAGGAGAUGGAACAGUCUGUGCCCUCUGAUACAACUAACCAGUGUUACCUCCAUUUCAGUUCAAAGCCACAGAGCAAAGGAAAACUACUGAGAAUAAAAUCCAAAUUGAGUAGGAUAGGAUAAUAGGGCCAAAGGAAAUAGAAGGUCCAGACAAGUAGGGGGAAAGUAAACCACCAGGAGAUCUCACAGUGUAGGAGAUCAUGUCUUUGAACACUUGACAGAAACAACAAAAGAGGGAGCUCCAGAGCUGUGAAGAUAGAAAAGCUAUCCUGACCCAAUAGUCUUAUCUGAAGUUCAGGGAAACUAAUUUCACAUAAAAGUGAACAGGGGCACCUGGGUGGCUCAGUCAGUUAAGCAUCCAUCUUUGGUUCAGGUCAUGAUCUCACAGUCUGUGAAUUCAAGCCCUGUGUCAGGCUCUGUGCUGACAGCUUGGAGCCUGGAGCCUGCUUCAGAUUCUUUGUCUCCCUCUCUGUCUGACCCUCUCCCGCUCAUUUUCUCUAUCUCUCUCAAAAAAUAAGCAUUAAAAAUUUUUUUAAUGAACAACAGAAAAGGAUCACUGUGGAAUCCAAUAGAAAUCUAUUUGGAAAAUGAAAAUAAGGAUAAGAAUAACAUCUCCACAAUGAAAGUAUGCCAGAAAAACAUGCCUAUGAAAUAAAUGAAAAGUGUACCUUCAUAUUUCAAAACAAGUUAAAGAAAAAAUAUGGAAUAUAAGAAAUAACAUAAAUGAAUUGAUAGAACUUAGAAAAUUAUUAUAAAUAAAGAAAAAAAUUUUUUCAAAAGUUAAGUUUAACAAAGGAGCACGGUAUUUCCUUAAAGCAAGUAUGUAAAAAAGAGGACUUUUUCAAAAACCAAAAAUAAGAGCUCUUUACCUUCCAUAUCCUGAUCAACUUAGUUCUAAGGUGGUUAUCUGUAUUGCAGGGCUAGGGAGGUUGGAGACAGUUAUGGUGACCCAUUAGGACUUAAUUAUGAAGAGGGGGCUUCCACAUAAGGGAGUGUCCUGGUGUGAGGAAUCAGAGUCUGAGCAGAUUAAGGAGGGUAACACACGGUACCGGUGAGUCAAGGAAAUAGGUGGUAGUAGAGACAGAGGACUCCUUACAUACAGAGAGAUUGACCAAAUGGAUACAUACAUGCUAAGGUUAAUGUUACCUAUAAUUUUCAUUUUUAGAGUAGAAUGUAAUAAAUAUGGAAAGGGAGAAAACUAAAAUGUAAACCCUAUAAUAUUAGGUUAGAAUUGGAGAAAUUGGUCUAAACAUAAGGUUUUUAAUUUAUAUAAACAUAGUUAUAAAUAUGUAUCUGUUUUACAUAUGGAUAUUAAAUUUAUAUACAAUUCUCUAGCUGUAUCCACUGAGAGAGCCUGGGCCCAAUAGCAGUGAGCACACCUAACACUUAGAUCUUGGCCUCUAAAUACUCUUCCCCACCAAAAUUACCAAGGCUGUUUGGAUUAAUGGCUGUUUCCAGGUGUGGGGAAGGGAAAGUACUAGAUUUUUCUGUAAUAUUCUGUGCUAGAUGAAGGAAACGUGUCAAAAGGACAGAAAAUCCAGUUUGAAAGGGUUCCCACUGGCUAAAUUGAGAACAAUUUGAGCAUCAAAUUGAUGAUGAUAAUACCAGCUUAUACUGCACUGAAUAAAUUAGGAAAUCACGAGUCAGGCUCUGCACUGAAAGCAUGAAAAACCUACUUGGGAAUCUCUCUCUGCCCCUCCCCCCACCGGGCACUCUGUCAUGCACGCUCUUUCUCUCACAAUAAAUAUUAAAAAAAAAAAGAACAUAA